UACGUAGGGGGCAAGCGUUGUCCGGAUUUAUUGGGCGUAAAGAGCGUGUAGGCGGUUCGUUAGGUCCGUUGUGAAAACUCGAGGCUCAACCUCGAGACGCCGAUGGAAACCCCCGAACUAGAGUCCGGAAGAGGAGAGUGGAAUUCCUGGUGUAGCGGUGAAAUGCGCAGAUAUCAGGAAGAACACCCGUGGCUAAGGCGGCUCUCUAGUACGGUACUGACGCUGAGACGCGAAAGCGUGGGGAGCGAACAGG
rnacentral:rRNA from 1 species